CUACGGGUCGCUGCAGUGGGGAAUAUUGGACAACGGGCGAAAGCCUGAUCCAGCCAUGCCGCGUGAGUGAUGAAGGCCCUAGGGUUGUAAAGCUCUUUCGCCAGGGACGAUAAUGACGGUACCUGGAUAAGAAGCCCCGGCUAACUUCGUGCCAGCAGCCGCGGUAAUACGAAGGGGGCUAGCGUUGUUCGGAUUUACUGGGCGUAAAGCGCACGUAGGCGGAUUUUUAAGUCAGGGGUGAAAUCCCAAGGCUCAACCUUGGAACUGCCUUUGAUACUGGAAGUCUCGAGUCCGGGAGAGGUGAGUGGAACUGCGAGUGUAGAGGUGAAAUUCGUAGAUAUUCGCAAGAACACCAGUGGCGAAGGCGGCUCACUGGCCCGGAACUGACGCUGAGGUGCGAAAGCGUGGGGAGCAAACAGGAUUAGAUACCCUCGUAGUC
rnacentral:rRNA from 1 species